rnacentral:tRNA from 1 species
GCCGAAGUGGCGGAAUUGGUAGACGCACUAGUUUCAGGGACUAGCGGUCGCAUGAUCGUGGGAGUUCGAGUCUCCCCUUCGGCACCA